rnacentral:rRNA from 1 species
UACAGAGGGUGCGAGCGUUGUCCGGAAUUACUGGGCGUAAAGGGCGCGUAGGCGGCCCCGUGCGCGUGCCGUGAAAGCCCGGGGCUCAACCCCGGGUCGGCGGUGCGAACGGCGGGGGGGGAGCACAUCAGAGGCAGGCGGAAUUCCGGGUGUAGCGGUGGAAUGCGGAGAGAUCCGGAAGAACACCGGUGGCGAAGGCGGCCUGCUGGGGUGUGGCUGACGCUGAGGCGCGACAGCGUGGGGAGCAAACAGG